AUUGAACGCUGGCGGCAUGCCUUACACAUGCAAGUCGAACGGUAACAGGUCUUCGGAUGCUGACGAGUGGCGAACGGGUGAGUAAUACAUCGGAACGUGCCCAGACGUGGGGGAUAACGAGGCGAAAGCUUUGCUAAUACCGCAUACGAUCUAAGGAUGAAAGAAGGGGAACGAAGGGCCUUUUGGGGUUGGGGGGGCCGGUGGCAGAUUAGGUAGGUGGUGGGAUAAAAGCUUACCAAGCCGACGAUCUGUAGCUGGUCUGAGAGGACGACCAGCCACACUGGGACUGAGACACGGCCCAGACUCCUACGGGAGGCAGCAGUGGGGAAUUUUGGACAAUGGGCGAAAGCCUGAUCCAGCAAUGCCGCGUGCAGGAUGAAGGCCUUCGGGUUGUAAACUGCUUUUGUACGGAACGAAAAGGCUCUGGCUAAUACCUGGGGCACAUGACGGUACCGUAAGAAUAAGCACCGGCUAACUACGUG
rnacentral:rRNA from 1 species